rnacentral:rRNA from 1 species
GGAUGAACGCUGGCGGCGUUCCUAAUACAUGCAAGUCGAGCGAGCAGACGAGGAGCUUGCUCCUCUGACGUUCGCGGCGGACGGGUGAGUAACACGUGGAUAACCUACCUAUAAGACUGGGAUAACUUCGGGAAACCGGAGCUAAUACCGGAUAAUAUAUUGAACCGCAUGGUUCAAUAGUGAAAGACGGUUUUGCUGUCACUUAUAGAUGGAUCCGCGCCGCAUUAGCUAGUUGGUAAGGUAACGGCUUACCAAGGCAACGAUGCGUAGCCGACCUGAGAGGGUGAUCGGCCACACUGGAACUGAGACACGGUCCAGACUCCUACGGGAGGCAGCAGUAGGGAAUCUUCCGCAAUGGGCGAAAGCUUGACGGAGCAACGCCGCGUGAGUGAUGAAGGUCUUCGGAUCGUAAAACUCUGUUAUUAGGGAAGAACAAAUGUGUAAGUAACUAUGCACGUCUUGACGGUACCUAAUCAGAAAGCCACGGCUAACUACGUG